UUUCUUUUCGGACUGCACGUCCAUCAUAGACUUCACACUCUGACAUGGUGUAACUUACAAGCACUCAGCACAGCUUAUUUUUAACUUUAGUAAUAUGAACUUCCUCUAUUUGCUUCUGCAUUGAGUAUCAGCCCACUGUUUAAAACUAAUGCUGUAAAAGGUUUUUUAAAGAGAACAACCACAGCAACUCUGCACACACUGAAGUUCAUAUUUACCAAAGAAGGUGUCAGGUCCGACGGUGCCCCGACCGGCGACCUGUGUGUAUGUGUGUGUUUGUUCUCUCGCUCUGUUUUUGUCUCCGGCUCCGCUGCAGUUGUUACGCGGUUGCGUAGCAACGGGAGAUCUCCGACCCGGAAGUGCUGCCACUCUGAGCUGUCCCACCUGCGACUGAUUCCUCGCCAGCUGCUGCCAAUCUUCCACCAUCGUUGGCAGAGCUAUUUAAUGGUGUGGCUGAGUGACAGACAGCGCUGGAGUAUUCCACCAAGCCUGGAAACGAGCGAGACGGAAAGACGAGAGGAGAGACGUCACUAUUCACGAGAGUUGUGUGGACACAUGAGGGGAGCACUGAAGGGACUUUGCACUGUGGAUAACUGUGGAUUGGCUUCACUGUAAAUAAAGACACUGUUCAACUUUAACGAGAGGUCCGCGUCUGGGUUCUCUUACUCACCACCCCGUAACAGAAGAUUUAAAUGUAAAUGUAAAGAUUUGCAUGAAUGAGCAGGAAGCCCUGCAGCAGACUCACAGACGGAUGCAGAGGGGAGGAGUGUGGAGGUGUGUGCUGUGUGUUUGGAGGAGGGACUCCUUCAGUUAGAGAAGUGAGGCGUCACAAGUUCCUGGUUUCCAGUGAAGAAGAAGAGAGGCAGCAGUAAACCAUCAGAGCCUCAUCAUGAAAGUCCAUCACACUCUGAUCUGCUUCUUCUUCCUUUCAGCUCUGCAGGAUGGAAACGCUGAAGUCAUAUUCAACAACAACAUUUCCUUUGGAGUCGUUGGAGGAAAUCUAACAGCUGGAUUCUCCUUUCCUGCUGGAACAUGGAAAAUGUUGUGCAGAGGAGAAUGUAAAGGAGGAAACAUUCUUAUUAAUACAACAGAUGAGAAGCAUCAAAGUCACAGAUACAGCACUGAAUAUACAAUUGUACAAUAUGCUCCUACUUUGUCUGUGAGCAUCACACAGCUGAUCAUGUCUGAUGCUGGACAGUACAGCUGUGGUGUGGGUGAAUCUCCAUCAUCAGUUUCAUACAGACAGUUUGAAGUUGUUGUUGCUGAAGCACUGCUGGAUGGAAACGAUCCUGCUCAGCUGAAACACUUCAAUAAAGAAACUGGAAGCUCUCUCACAGUCGGAUGUUCCUUUAAUCCGUCUGGAGGACAAAAGUUCUUCUGCAGGGGAGAAUGUGGAGAGGACGAGGUUCUUCUUCAAACAGAUGAUGAAGAUGCUUCCAAAGACAGAUACAGAAUUGGAUUUAGAGGAACUUCAGAGGAGACAUAUGGAGGAGGAGGAAUUGUGUAUGUGACAAUCACACAGCUGACUGAGUCUGACUCAGGACAGUACAGAUGUUCUCUGAAUCCAUCUUCUGGUCAAGCUUCAUUCAGACUCUUUGAGAUCAACGUCACAGAUGCAGUCGUCCAAUCAGCCUUCUCACCUUCACUCACCUCGAGUGUAACCACGGAGCAGCCUGAGAAAACACCUGAAGGUGUUUCGCUGCCUGUGGGUCUGACUGUGGCUGUCAUCAUCAUCAUCAUCAUCAUCAUCGUCCUCUCAUCACUGGCUGUUCUAAUAAUCUGCAUUAAGAGGAAGAGCAACAGAGGUAAGACAACAAAGAUACAGCAACAACAGAAUUUUCCAUUUAUGAUCAAAAUCUGAAACUAACUUUAUGUCACUUGUCAAAGCUGCAGUGAAACAAAAAUAUUUUCUCUGACUUUUUCUUUGUGACUCGUCUGCACGCUUUGGUUUGAGGACACGGAUAGAUGUUAGGCUCAAAACCUGAGGUAACCAAACACACAUGCAGCGUGGGUGAUUUCAGGAGGAUCAGACUGAGUCUCUGUUUCAGUUCUUACUGCUCAGUACUCUGAUUGGUUUAGUGAGAGGUGGAGCAUUCAGGAGGAAGGACACGAUUCACUGCUUUGUUAAUUCAUUGAUUUAAGUGCAAAAAAAUAUUAACAGACUGCCCUUCAUUUACGUGCUGCAGCACAGUUUUAACUGGUAAAAGAACAUUUGAGUAUAUUACUCUGGUUCUGAUGUCCUUACACUGGCUUCCAGUUGAAUUUAGGAUCUAAUUUAAAAUCCUUUUACUGGUUUUUAAAUCCUUAACUGGUCUGGCGCCUGUAUAUUUGUCAGAUCUGCUCCUUCUCUCCCCAAUCACUCCGGUCAGUUGCUCAGCUGUUGCUCUCAGUCCCUAAAUAACGGCUGAGAGGAGACCGAGCGUUCUCCAUCGUGGCCCCGAAGCUUUGAACUGCAAUCUGCUUCAGUGUUGGCCUUUAAAUCCAGGUUAAAAACUCAUUUCUAUUAACAGGCUUUUGACUCAGUGCGUAACUGACUCUGUUAUUUUAUUGAUACUUAUUGUUACGGUAACUGGAGGGACUCAAACGCAGGACUCCUUUGCUCAAAGGAAGAACAGAGGCUUUAUUCACUAACACCAGGUGAAAUGUGCCACAGUGACAAAGUGCUAUACAAGAGUGCAGGGAUCAGGGAUCAGGGCUCCAGGGAAUCUGCAGGGGAACACUCUCACUCCCCUUCUGUCUCUCUUGGCAUCUCACCAAUCUCUCACUCCUCUCUCACACCAGAAUCUCCGUAAGGAACAAGGGCAGGUCUGUACACAAGGGAACUAGAUUAGCAGUGUCCUAGACAGGAUUUCACUGACACAAGUCAAGCAACAAUCCAGUGAAGAGCAGUCUCACUUAAGUAGAGGCCAGUUAAUGAGACGCAGGUGUUACUCGUCUCCCAGGUAUGUAGGCCAAAGGUGGGAGCCCACAGUGAACUCUGCCCAGGUGACAGAGGGAGAGAAAGGAAAGAGAGAAACACAAUAGCAGAAUAUUUCUCAGGCAGAUCUGCUGCACUGAUGUACAGCACUUUGGUCGACCAUGUGUUGUUUUUACUGUGCUAUAUAAAUGAAUUAUGUUAUGGUCCAAUGAUGUUAAGAAACAUGUUAGAAAGCACAAAAAAUACAAAAAUGAAAAAUCCCUUUAAGAAUGCAUCAUGUAUUCGUCUUUUCCUAUAGAAGAAGAGACCGUGCACAGUUUUCAUGAGUUUAAAAUAAGAUAUUGACUCAGGAAUUAGUAAAGCAGAGAGGUGAAGAAGAAAGAGGUCAACAUGAUUAGUACAUAUCUGGGAAACUUCAAGGUCAAAGAAACAUCACAGAGAAAACAGGAAGACAAACAGGAUCUGACAUUCAGCUCAUUCAGUUAAACACAGGCGUUCACCACAGACGACUCUGGUUAUGGCUGCUUGUAUCUAUGAGCUGACUGCUCACUGUGACCUCAGUAAACACUUUCCUGCUGCAGCCAACAAGCUGAACUGAGGCUUUUAUAACAGGAGUGCACAAAGCAACAGCUGACAUUACAGCAGAUAAUUCCAUCUUUAAUAUACAGGCUAUGCUUUUUACCACUGAGCUGACAGAGUGAAAACUGACUGAUUCAGGCUUGUGUGUUAUCAAGUACAUGUCAUGUGAUUCUGCACUGAGGCAGGUUCUGGCUCCAAUAUUCAGGAGUCAGGAUGUGAAAUCACUUCAGCUUCAUUGCUGGAAACUUGCAGAAAAGAACAAAAUAUAAACGGAGCAAAGUCAGAGAGGAAAAUGGAAACACAGAGCAGAGGAGCAGACAGUGGGAGAAACAAUAAAUAAACAGAUAUAUAAAAAUCCAGAUAUCAGACUGCUCAUAACCAAAGUGAAUAAUUCUGAAUGAUCUCUCGUGUUUCUUCCUCAGGUGCACUUUGAAUGGUUGGUCCUUCUAACAGAGGAACAUCCUGUUUGUUCCACAGGUUUGAGGACCAGAGGAAACUCAGAGGGCACAAACAUGGAGGUGACUUUCUUUCUCUUUGUUUCCUCUCACUGCUGACAGACUGCUACCGUAACAAAGAAAUAAAGCAGUCACAGUGUGAUGGUUCAGUUUGUAGACUGUUCCAGAAAUUACAAUCCAAGAAGGUGAAUUCAAACAGGUAGGUGACAAAAAUGGCCGCCCAGACGGAGACUCCAACAACAAACAGAGACACUGUUGUCUGAGAGGUUCAACGAGGCAACAUGGAAAUAUUUACCAGCACAAAUGAUUUCACCAAGUCAGAGUCUGUUCUUGUUAUGUGAAGAAGACAGUUUGUCUCUGUUUUAG
ensembl:lncRNA